rnacentral:lncRNA from 1 species
UCCUCUCCAAUAUCGACCGAUGGUCGAGCUCGAUGGUCUUCUCGGGUGCUUGCUCCAAAUAUCUCCAAAAUGCUCCAAAAUCAUCACUUAUCUCUAAAUCACUCCUAAUCUUAUAAAUAUAAUAAAUAUACUCUAUAAUAUAAUAAUUAUUAGUAAAAACACCUAUAAACCAUGGAUGAAAAUGAGUCAAAUCCAUAGUCUAUCAACCCAUAACUAAAAUAUGUGAUUGUGUUACCUAGAGCAUCAAAGUGCUGAAGACGAGUUUCUGGAGUCGUCACUUAAUCUUCUAGAGCAACUGCACAUCUUCUGAAGUGGACACUUUGAUCCACUGCUCAUUUCCUGAAGUGGUCACUUUGAUCCUCUAGAUUAACUACUCAUUUUUACCACAAUCACACCAUUGGGUUUCCCCACUAGGAGGAACCCAACAAACUCCCCCUC